rnacentral:rRNA from 1 species
GAUGAACGCUGGCGGCGUGCCUAAUACAUGCAAGUCGAGCGAACAGACGAGGAGCUUGCUCCUCUGACGUUAGCGGCGGACGGGUGAGUAACACGUGGAUAACCUACCUAUAAGACUGGGAUAACUUCGGGAAACCGGAGCUAAUACCGGAUAAUAUGUUGAAUCGCAUGGUUCAACAGUGGAAGACGGUCUUGCUGUCACUUAUAGAUGGAUCCGCGCCGCAUUAGCUAGUUGGUAAGGUAACGGCUUACCAAGGCAACGAUGCGUAGCCGACCUGAGAGGGUGAUCGGCCACACUGGAACUGAGACACGGUCCAGACUCCUACGGGAGGCAGCAGUAGGGAAUCUUCCGCAAUGGGCGAAAGCCUGACGGAGCAACGCCGCGUGAGUGAAGAAGGUCUGCGGAUCGUAAAACUCUGUUAUUAGGGAAGAACAAAUGUGUAAGUAACUAUGCACGUCUUGACGGUACCUAAGCAGAAAGCCACGGCUAACUACGU